UUCCUGUAUGAUCAUCGUAGUUAAGCAACAUCGAGCUUGAUUAGUACCUAGAAGGGUGACCGCUUGGGAAUACCAGGUACUGGAA